GAUACAGCUAAAAUGAUGAAUCAAUAUCUCAAAUAAUAAAUAUCAUUACAUGAGUUGAAAAAUUAUAAAAAAAAUUCUAUCAUAACACACUUGUGAUUGUUGAGUUCCAGUGGCAUAGCGGAAGGACUAGAUGUUUAAAAAUUUUAGUUGAAACACCCGAUAUACUGAAAACCCUAAUGCCCAGAAAUCCUUGACUAUAAUAAUCAAAGUAUAAUAAAUAUAAACUUGGAUAAGAAGUAUAUUUGUAGUGCUAAUCUCAAUUUUUAUAAGGUGUCUUAGUAUUCACCCUCCAACG
rnacentral:lncRNA from 1 species